rnacentral:lncRNA from 1 species
GAAAAAUCAGAGACAGCCGGUAACUCAGUUCAGUACAUUUGGCACGUGAAGAAAAUUCAAAUUUGGAAACUCAGAUGUAAAGAUAAACACACUCAACAUUUCACCUUUGAAAGUUCGAGCAGAGCAUUUUCUCGGAGAUCCGGAUUGCAGAGAUCGAGAACCAACUGCUCGGCGGAUUGCAUCCUGCGGUCUUUGUUGGCGGCGGAGGAGGAGCUGCCGGUAGCCUCAAAGGGGGCGGCUUUCAAGUUCAGCGGCGGAGGAAGGGUUGCCAUUUUAUCCAAUUCUCUCGCAAAUUACUCGCAAUUGAACAAUAUUUCGAUGCCAAGGGCUCCUUGCUUUUCAGAUUACGUUUCGAGUGGGAGGGAGGGGAGGAUUGGGCAACACGUGCCGUUCACUGCGCGUCGCUGCUCGACACCUGUACAGGAAUGCGUCAGCUGAGUGUUCCGCACGCGCCGCCGUCGCGAACAGUGCUUCCGGUGGAGAAUUGGAUGAGCGAUGCGUUAGUGGACUCCGGAUGUGGUGUUUGACACGCGCAGCCACUGCAGAUAUGGGAAUGAGAUGUAGGAAACACUUAUAAAAAGGAAAAUGGAAGGGGGUUUUGAGUUAUAGGAGAGAUGCAUAUUUUGGACGGAUUAGGAUAAUAAUUAGGGAUUAUUAAGAUUGUGUUGUUAUAAUCUACUCAUUGUGAAUUUGUGAUUCGUUUCACAAAUUCAUAACUUUGU